rnacentral:tRNA from 1 species
AGGCCCGUAGCUCAACUGGCAGAGCGCCGGACUCCAAAUCCGGAGGUUGGGGGUUCGAGUCCCUCCGGGCCUACCA